UACGUAGGGACCAAGCGUUGUUCGGAUUUACUGGGCGUAAAGGGCGCGUAGGCGGCAAUUCAAGUCAUCUGUGAAAUCUCCGGGCUUAACUCGGAACGGUCAGAUGAUACUGCUUUGCUAGAGUGCAGAAGGGGCAAUCGGAAUUCUCGGUGUAGCGGUGAAAUGCGUAGAUAUCGAGAGGAACACCUGAGGUGAAGACGGGUUGCUGGGCUGACACGUGACGCUGGAAGCGCGAAAGCCAGGGGAGCAAACGGG
rnacentral:rRNA from 1 species